UCCGGUUUGGCACCGGCAGUCUCCAAUGAGUCCCCGGCAUUGCCCGCUGGCAACAUUGGACAGGGGUUGCGCUCGUUGCGCCACUUAAGGCAACACCUCACGGCACGAGCUGACGACAGCCAUGCAGCACCUGUGCAGGCUCCCGAAGGAGCACCGGCUUUCACCGGUUUCACCCUGCAUGUCAAGCCCUGGUAAGGUGGGGAUGACGUCAGUGCUUGCCU
rnacentral:misc_RNA from 1 species